GCACCUGGCAGCGCCCACGAAAAAGCAGAUUAAACGGUCCGCACGUAUCUUCCCCGCUCUGCCAGUGAUUCGCCGCGUCGCGAAUAAAGCUCCGUCUUGCGCCAGUUGCUUCCGCGACGAGAUGCAUGUGCGAUGCGUUUGACCAUUUCCCGCCACGUGUCGCCGGGAAAAAGAUAUAAGAAAUGUCGCGCGCCAUCGGUGAACGUCAAACAUUUGUGUCGUGCGAUUGAGCGCCGUCGGUGUUCGAAACUGUCCAAGGCCAGGGACAAGAAAAAAAGUUGUGACACUUCGGCAUUAAGACCGUGGAUGCAGCCGAGAGCGGGCAGUGGCGGGGCCCAUCCGGGCGGGACAGGUGACGAUGAGGCCCCGAAAGACCCGGGUGCGCGGAUUACUCAUCAGUCUUACACGGAAAAAGAUUAUGAAGGUCACAGAGCGCACACGGUGUAUGUGGGCGUGCAUCUGCCAGGGGAGAGAAGACACCGCCGACACCAUAAGCACCACCAUUCACAACGACAGCCCGGUGGUAAGGAGGACGCCGACAACGAUAGACCGAGACAAUUGUUGAUGGCGCGCAGGGGUCGUCUCGCUAGCAUCUGCGACCCCGCCGGCGAGAUGAUAUUCACUCCGCCAGCCCAGAGAGUACAGUUUAUCCUUGGCGAGGAAGUUGGUGACGAUGCGCACGAAUCGCAUCCGCUCUUCUCGGAGAUGGAGGAGCUCGUCAAGGAUGGCGACGAAAUGGAAUGGAAAGAAACAGCGAGAUGGAUCAAGUUCGAGGAAGAUGUCGAGGAAGGUGGCAAUAGAUGGAGUAAACCUCAUGUUGCUACACUAUCACUGCACUCACUCUUCGAAUUAAGGAGCCUCCUUUUAAACGGAACCGUCAUGCUCGAUAUGGAAGCAGGAAGUUUAGAACAAAUAGCUGAUCUUGUUCUCGAUAACAUGAUUAGUAAAGGAGUAUUAUCGGUGGAAUUGCGAGAGAAGGUGAGAGAAGCCCUUCUCGUCCGACAUCGGCACCAACACGAAAGACGUAAAGACAAUAACAUGUCGAAGUUACCGAUCAUACGAUCGUUAGCUGAGAUAGGACGUAACCAUUCCUCCUCGAAGAAUUUCGACUGUUCAUGUGGUAUGCAUGCCUUGUUGACGUCAGAUUUGCAGGAACGUCGUGAUCCAAAGGACACUUACGUGCCGUCCGUCGCCCGCAGCAGUAGCUGCCCGAACUCGAACACGGCCCCGCUGUCGAAAGAGGCGAAAGACCUCAAAGGGCCGUACCUUCUGGUUCCAGGCCAGGAACCAGGUAGUAACGGAAUGGAUCGGAGCCCCAGCAACGUGUCUAUCAGCAGAAUUCACAGUUCGUCAGCUUUGGAAAACGGAGAUGCUAAUCACAGGGGUAAUACGCACUUUAUGAGAAAGAUACCACCCGGCGCCGAGGCAAGCAACAUACUCGUAGGUGAGGUCGAUUUUCUCGACAAGACUUUGUCCGCAUUCAUCCGGUUAAGCCAAGCCGGAAUAAUGGGGGACCUGACAGAAGUUCCUGUUCCGACAAGAUUCAUCUUCGUCCUCCUGGGACCCAUGGGUGGAAUUUCGGGUUUCCACGAGAUAGGCCGAGCUAUGGCGACCUUGAUGUCUGACGAAGUCUUCCACGACGUGGCUUACAAGGCAAAAAAUAGAAAUCACCUCUUAUCUGGUAUUGAUGAGUUCCUAGACGCCGUGACGGUACUACCACCCGGUGAAUGGGACCCGGCCAUCAGAAUAGAACCGCCAGCGGCUAUCCCGUCACAGGAAGUUAGAAAGAGACCCAAGGAGGAAAAGCCUAAGGAAGAGUUUGACGAGGAAGCUGAUGAACAAAAGCUAAGGGAGGAAUCCGGCCUUUCGAGAACCGGUAGACUGUUCGGCGGUCUGAUCAACGACUUUAAGAGAAAAGCUCCAUUUUAUUUAUCUGACUUCAAGGACGCCCUUGCACUUCAGUGCGUCGCGUCUUUCAUUUUCUUAUAUUUCGCCUGCUUGUCGCCCAUCAUUACUUUCGGUGGUCUCCUCAGCGAGGCCACCGGAAAGAACAUGGCCGCCAUGGAAUCGUUAGUCUCCGGUUUCGUCUGUGGCAUAGGAUAUGGCUUUUUCUCUGGUCAGCCUUUGACUAUACUCGGUUCCACCGGUCCGGUUCUGGUUUUCGAGACGAUCGUCUACGAAUUCUGCAAGAAGGUUGACUGGAGUUAUAUGUCUUUCCGUUUUUGGAUCGGUACAUGGAUUUCCGUAAUUCUAAUGAUUCUCGUGGCUCUUGAUGCAAGUGCUUGCGUUUGUUACAUCACUCGAUUUACGGAAGAAAAUUUUGCUACCCUUAUCGCCUUCAUUUUUAUCUAUAAGGCUAUCGAAAAUGUGUUGUCGAUCGGCAAGAAAUAUCCUCUAAAUACCUAUUCCAGUCAAACACUGGAUUACGAUUGCUGGUGCAAACCACCAAACAUUAGUUUGCCAUCCAGUUAUGACAACAUGAAUUGGACGACAUUGGAUAAAACAGCUUGCGAGAAUUACAAUGGCACUAUGGUGGGUGAUGGCUGCAGCGUACCGCAUUAUGUACCCGACGUGUUCCUUAUGUCAAUUAUCCUAUUCAUGGGCACGUUUUUGUUAUCGGUAGAGCUCAAGGAUUUCAAAAACGCUUUAUUCUUUCCCUCAAAGGUGAGACAAGUGGUAAGCGACUUUGCAGUAAUAAUCGCGAUAUUCUCUAUGAGCACAUUGGAUCAUUUUGUGGGCAUUCCAACGCCGAAAUUGGAAGUGCCAACGGAGUUCAAGCCAACAUUAGAGGGACGAGGAUGGCUAAUCUGGCCUUUUGAGAGAAAUCCGUGGUGGAGUGCCAUCGGGGCAUGUCUUCCCGCUUUAUUGGGCACUAUAUUGAUCUUUAUGGAUCAGCAAAUCACGGCCGUUAUUGUUAAUAGAAAAGAGAACAAGUUAAAGAAAGGAUGUGGGUACCAUCUGGAUCUUUUCAUCCUGGCGAUCCUGAUCGAGAUAUGCUCGGUAAUGGGACUUCCAUGGUUCGUCGCAGCGACAGUACUCUCCAUAAAUCACGUGAACUCGUUGAAGUUGGAAUCCGAGUGUGCCGCGCCAGGCGAGAAGCCGCAAUUUUUAGGUGUCCGCGAGCAGAGGGUUACUCAUAUACUUAUCUUUCUGAUGAUCGGAUGCUCGGUACUCUUAACACCGAUGCUGAGGAACAUACCGAUGCCGGUGCUGUUCGGUGUCUUCCUGUACAUGGGCGCCGCGUCGUUGAAAGGUCUUCAAUUCUUCGAUAGGAUUCUGAUAAUGUUGAUGCCCGUUAAAUAUCAGCCGGACUACAUGUUUCUUCGCCAGGUCCCGUUGAAACGAGUACACAUGUUCACUGCAAUUCAGCUUACUUGCCUCGCCUGCCUGUGGCUCAUAAAAUCUUUCAGUCACACCUCUAUUCUGUUUCCUUUAAUGCUCGUGGUAAUGAUCGGCAUACGCAAAUCCCUGGAUUUGAUGUUUACGCAACGCGAACUGAAAAUCCUCGACGACAUAAUGCCGGAACCAAGCAAGAAACACGCCGACGAUCUUCGUAAGCUGGAGAACGGCGAGGAUCAUAACGAAACGAUGGGCUACGGACCCCCGGGAAACAUUCAGAUCUCUUUGGCUAACGGGAACAUCAUGAAAAUUCCUCUGGCGAGUAUCAAUAUCAGCGAGGAGGUGAACAAAACUGGUAUUUGGCAACAAGUUAACGAGAGCAACGAAAAAACAAAACAGUCAAAAUCAUUGAUCAAUGUGGGAAAGCAAAAGAAGAAUCCGAAGAAAGACAACUCGCUAUUAGCCGCCGAUGAGACAACGAGGCUGACGACAAUGACCGAAGAAGAUGAAGAUGACAGUGGAAUAUCGAUCAAGGUGACACACGUAAAUGAUUCUAAGUUCUAACUACCAUCACCAAAACACCGACAAUUCAUAUGGCAAGACACACAGCAAGAGCACCAAUAUACCGGCAUGCAACGCCCAAAUCCCAUGCACCGCCGCUGUAGAUUUAAUACGAUCCAAGGAAAGCAUCAGUCCUUUAAAAGCAAAUGGUACUACCUCAGCAGAGACUUCCGUUUAACAAGAAGAAAACAAAAACAAACAUAUAUUAAUGUAGUACACAAGUUUCUUUAAUUGAUUGCUUCAAAACUUUCUUUCAUAAGAUAAGAAUAAAAAUUGCAGAGUAGAAACUCUUAUCUUAUAAAUUAAAUCGACAUGAAAGUCAUAAAACAUACCAUUUAACUUUUUGUAAGUUUAUAUCCUUUUACAAAGUAACAUCUAUUCUCCUUUGCCUAUAUUAUCCUUAAUUAAAUUACAUUUGUAUUAUAUUUAGUAUAAACAAUGUGCGUUGCUUGUUCGCGAGUAUUCUGUAAUUUAUACUGAAAUGUAAAUGAUCUAAUAUCCACCCAUAGUCUCAAUGUGUUUGUACAUAGAAACAAUUUAAGAUUCGCCAAUAGUAUCCAAUUGUGAUUUAAUAAAACCUCAUUUUUCAUCUCCGAUAAAGUAAUGAUAAUGACGUAUUGCUACAAAACAGUUCAUUUUUAGUAAUUAUUUAUACUACAAUUCAACUUUCUUAAUAUUAUUGUAUUUGAAUUAUAAGGGUAUGUAAACAUCGAGAAAUAAAAAAAAAUAGAAGAAAAAGAUUCCAAAUAAUUCGAAAAAUGUUUCGAAAUAAUAAAGGCAUAUUUAUAGUAGGUACAUGUUUUCCGUUCUAGUGAGUAACAAAAAUAAAAUACGGUAAAAUUUGAAAAGAUCUCUUACUGUUAUGCAGCUUCUUUAGAUAAUACGAUCUAGAUUAACGACGUCUAUUAACUGACAAAUCAAUAAGGACGUGUUUAUGCUACAAAAAUUUGUGAAAAACGCACAUUUUUUCAACCGUGAUAUGAUACUGAAAAUAAGUCGCAUUUAUAAAAUAUGAAUGCGAACUGCAAAAUAAAAUUCGAGUUUUUCUGGUUGAAAUUUUUCAACGGAAAAUUACUUUUUCUAGCGAAUAAUUCAGCUUCAACGCAUUCAAAUAUUCGAAUAAUUAUUACCGAUAAUUUUCACUCUUAUAGAUAUAUAUUAAAAUAAAUAAGAAAUAAAAAUGAUGUAGUAAAAUAAAAUAAUAAAUAAUAGAAUAAUAGCAUAGUAUUGCGCAGGUGUCAAAAUACCGUAAGUUGCAGGUUCGUGUGUGUGUGCCAGUUACAAUUAUUCGAAUAUUUGAACAUUGACAGCUGUAAAAUUUUAAGUUCGUAUAAAUCAAAUUCUAAUUCAUAUUAUACAAAUCAGAAAAAUAGAAAAAUGAGAAUAUUGUGUUACCGUGCAAUAAUACAUGAUUUUGCAUGUAGCAAUUAAGUAGUUCAAGUAACUUUAUAUUCAUACCAUGUAUAUGCCAAAGAAACCCCGCAAUAUGUAAUACGUAUAUCAAUACUUCCUUCGAGGGAUAUCUCAUAUGUUAUUGCUAGUAUCGUUAAAUAGCAGUGCAUAUUAGAAAAAAGACAAAAAUCUGAUUAAUAAAAAAAUUGUUCUAAUAUUUUUUUAUUCAUUUUCUUCAAUGAUAUUAAUACGAUACCUUGGGGGAUAAGAAUUGUGGAAGCUAUUUCGUGAGCUGAGAGUAGAAAAAAAAAUGUUGUAUGUACAGAUGAAUUUGUUCCUUGUCCUUAAAUCAUAGAGUAAUAUUGACUCUUCUGGUCUCAAAAAAUACUAUCAUUUUACUAAUAAAUUUUUUUACAAAAGCGGCCUUUUUAAAUACAAAACUAUGGAACAAUCCUCUUCGAGACAUUCAUAAAGUAAUCUCUCGCUUUGCAUAAAGAUAAUCGAAAUUGACUUAAAAAAAAUUUUGUAUAAUAUGCAUAAUAAUCUAGUUUAGAUAAAAGUUUAUUCUCAAAGAUGUCUAAAAAAGCACACAGCAUAUUUCUGUUGCUUCUUAAAACUUUCCAGUCUAGCUAAGAUCUUGCCCAUUCAAUUUCCAAACUAUUAUCAUAACUUUUUUAAUAUUUGGGCAUGCCCAAUUGCGACAAUAUUGAAAUAUUCUAAUUAUAGCGAAAUUAAUUUCUUUACCGCAAAAUUUUUGACAAAAAAUUUACGUAUUAUAAAAAUAUACAAUGUGUAGAAUGAUAGAACAGUCCCUUGAAGGAUAUCCGUUGUUCAAGAUUGAAGAGAAACAACAUAACCGUCAAUCUGCGAUAUGUAAUAAAUAAUAAUAAUUUACAACUAUAGUAAAUAAUAAUAAAGAUAUUCUGUCGGAAAAAUAAAGUUAUUUGUUAAUUAAAGUUAUUUGAAUUAAUUAAAUAAAAAUCUUACAAUAUUUUUAAAAUAAUUUUUUAAUUUUGUUUGUAUAUAGUAAAAUCUGUUGUGAUAUAAUUUGUUUCUUAUUAAAUUUAUACCUCAUAACAGAGAUAAUUAAUUUUGAAGCUUUCCGACCGAAUAUUUGCGUAAACAAAUAACUUGUACGAAUCGAAUAUUUACUGAAUAGAAAAAUGUGCAAAUUUUUUCUCAAACAAUCUGUGAUAAAUUUAUCAAUAAUGAAAAAAAAGGAUUUUAUUUAUAAGAACUUAAUUCCUCAGUUCGACUAAUUACCAAAUUUGUGGCAUAAAUAUUCAUAAAGAAUUUCAUAGAAAAAUAAAUAAGUGAGAUAUUUAUUAUAUUUAUUAUAUUUUUUACAUGAUCAUUUUUUGCUAACAGAUAGUUUGAGAAAAUAUAUGUUAGUGGAAUAAAAAAAAAUGCGAAGAGAUUACAUCUUACAAUAUAUGUAUUUAACUCGUAGGAAAGCUCAAAAGAAGACCUACAGUUAAAACAAUAUGAAACAUUUAUAUCAUAUUGGAAAGUAUAACCGUGCAUACUUUUAAGUAUAUUUUUACGUCAAGAAAGCGUGCUCCCACCCAUAUAAAUCACUUAAUUAAAAUCAUAUAUAAAAUCUGUUUGCGGAGCGGAUGUUAUGAUGUUAACUUCGUAUGAUGUAACAUUUGGAGCCCAGAGUAUCGUAUAAUAAUGAAACAAAUAAAAGAAGGGUGUGAAAGGCAUGCCGCAAUCUUAGGUGCGAAAUUAAAAUUUGCAAAUAGUAAAAUUCAUGGAUAUAAUGUAUAGUAUGGAAAUAAUUAAAUUUAUAAAGUGUAUGAUAUGUAUGCUAAUGCGUUUUGACGGUGAUCUUCGGCAAGUUAAUUAGAAGAAAUGUACUUUCAUAUUCAAUUAUAUUCACGAUUUCACGCGAAUUUAUGAUGUGGCGGAUGGGCUAUAAUCGCCGACGUAGUAUUAAUUGGUUGUGAUUAGGUAGGGAAGACUGUAUCUCGGAAACUAGUUUCCGAGUUGACAAGGAAAGUAGUUGAUGCCUGUCAUUGUAUAUUUAAUCAUGCUGUGUUACUUUAAAUAAAUAAUGUGCAAUUAAAA
rnacentral:misc_RNA from 1 species